rnacentral:rRNA from 1 species
GUAACACGUCGGAACGUACCCAGUAGCGGGGGAUAGCCCGGCGAAAGCCGGAUUAAUACCGCAUACGCCCUACGGGGGAAAGGGGGGGAUCGCAAGACCUCUCACUAUUGGAGCGGCCGAUGGCUGAUUAGCUAGUUGGUGGGGUAAAGGCCUACCAAGGCAACGAUCAGUAGCUGGUCUGAGAGGACGACCAGCCACACUGGGACUGAGACACGGCCCAGACUCCUACGGGAGGCAGCAGUGGGGAAUUUUGGACAAUGGGCGAAAGCCUGAUCCAGCAGUGCCGCGUGUGCGAAGAAGGCCUUCGGGUUGUAAAGCACUUUUGUCAGGGAAGAAAUCGUUCGGGCUAAUACCUCGGGCAGUUGACGGUACCUGAAGAAUAAGCACCGGCUAACUACGUGCCAGCAGCCGCGGUAAUACGUAGGGUGCAAGCGUUAAUCGGAAUUACUGGGCGUAAAGCGUGCGCAGGUGGUUCGUUAAGACAGUUGUGAAAUCCCCGGGCUUAACCUGGGAACUGCAAUUGUGACUGGCGGACUAGAGUUUGGCAGAGGGGGGUGGAAUUCCUGGUGUAGCAGUGAAAUGCGUAGAUAUCAGGAGGAACACCGAUGGCGAAGGCAGCCCCCUGGGCCAUGACUGACACUCAUGCA